AAUCAACGCUGGCGGCGUGCCUCAGACAUGCAAGUCGAACGCGAAAGGCCCCUUCGGGGGCCCGGUAGAGUGGCGCACGGGUGAGUAACACGUAGGUAAUUUGCCUUCGGGUGGGGAAUAACAGCCGGAAACGGCUGCUAAUACCGCAUAAUGCAGCGGCUCGACAUCGAGACAGUUGUUAAAACGGGGGAUCGCAAGACCUCGCGCCUGAAGAGAAGCCUGCGGCAGAUUAGCUUGUUGGUGAGGUAAUGGCUCACCAAGGCGACGAUCUG
rnacentral:rRNA from 1 species